rnacentral:lncRNA from 1 species
GAACUUGGUUUAUGGUUCAUGAGGUUAGGCAUUUGGAAUUUGGUUCAUGAACUUGGAUAUGGUUCAUGGAUUUGGUUUAUGGACUUCAGGUUCAUGGGAUUUGGCUUAUGAACUUGGGUAUGGUUCGUGGUGUUUGGUUCACGACUUGGGUAAGCUUCAUGAACUUGGUUCAUGGUUCAUGGUUUAUGAGUUUUGGUUCAUGAGACUUGAUUCAUAAACUUGGGUAUGGUUCAUGGUGUUUGAGGUUUGGGUCAUGAACUUGGCUCAUGAUUCAAGAAAUUUGGGUUCUAUUUAUGAUUGGAUUUGGAUUUAGGGCUAUUUGUAGACCGGAUUGGAUUUGAGUUUGGGUUUUUAUUUGUCGACUUGAUUUGGGUUUUGGGUUUGGUUUUAUUUGUGGACUUGAUUUGGGUUUAGGUUUUUUGGGUUUAGGUUUUGGUUUUGAGUUUUUAUUUGUGGACUUGGGUUGGGUUUGGGUUUUAUGGGUUUAGGUUUGGGUUUUGGAUUUUGAUUGGAUUUGAUUUGGGUUUGGGUUUUUCGGUUUCGGUUUUAUUUGUGGACUUGGAUUUGAUUUUGGGUCCUUAUAUGGAUUUGGUAUAGAUUUGGGUUCGGGUUUGGAUUUUAUUUGUAGACUGGAUUGGAUUAUGGUUUUGGGUUUAGGUUUGGGUUUUGGGUUUGGAUUUGGAUUUGGUUUUGGGUUUGGAUUUGGGUUUUGGUUUUAUUUGUGGACAUGAUUUGGGUAUGGUUUUGGGUUUUAUUUGUGGAAUUGGUUUUCUUUUCAAUUCUAUUUCGGGUCCGAAAAAAUUCUCUUUUGAUUUUGCAAUUCGAUUUAGGGUCCGAAGAAAUCCCCUUUUUGAUUUUGCAAUUCGAUUUAGGGUCCGAAGAAAUCCCCUUUUGAUUUUGCAAUUUGAUUUGCGGUCCGAAGAAAUUUUCUUUUAAUUUUGUAAUUUGAUUUGGGGUCCGAAGAAAUUUUCUUUUUGAUUUUAAUUUGAUUUGGGGUUCGAAGAAAUCCUCUUUUGAUUUCAAUUUGAUUUGGUGUCCGAAGAAAUUUCCUUUUUGAUUCUAAUUUGAUUUAGGGUCCGAAGAAAUUUUCUUUUGAUUUCGAUUUGACUUGAGGUCCGAAGAAAUCCCCUUUUUGAUUCUAAUUUGAUUUGGGGUCCGAAGAAAUCCCCUUUUUGAUUCUAAUUUGACUUGGGGUCCGAAUAAAUCUUUGUUUUGAUCUUGAUUUGGAGUCCGAAGAAAUUUCCGUUUGAUUUUGAUUUGGGGUCCGAAGAAAUUCCCGUUUUGAUCUCGAUUCGGGGUCCGAAGAAAUUCCCGUUUGAUCUCGAUUUGGGGUCCGAAGAAAUCCCCGCUUGAUUUCGAUUGAUUUGGGGUUCGAAGAAAUCCCCGCUUGAUUUCGAUUUGAUUUGGGGUCCGAAAAUAUCCCCCUUUUGAUUCUAAUUUGAUUUGGGGUCCGAAGAAAUCCCUCUUUUGAUUUUAAUUUGAUUUGGGGUUCGAAGAAAUUCCCGUUUUGAUCUUGAUUUGAGGUCCGAAGAAAUCCCCGUUUUGAUCUCAAUUUGGGGUCCGAAGAAAUUCCCGUUUUGAUCUCGAUUUGGCUUGAAUCUUAGCUGGUUUGAAAGUUUUGUGGAUUGAUUCAAUGUUCUCGAAAGGGAUUGAAGGGUCCGAAGAAACGGAGAAUCUUUGAUUCCCUUCCCCUCUUUUUUCGAAAACACCGAACUGGUAAGGUUGGAUAUGACGGCGACGAAGAUGAUGAUGGUGGCAUAGAUCUUAACGGCCGGCAGAUUUGAUUUGACAUUUUCAAAAGAUGCUAAAGGGGCCGAAGAAACGGGGAAUCAAAGAUUCCCCUCCCCUCUUCUUUUGAAAAUAUCAAACCGGCGAUGCUGGAGAUGACGUCGGUGAAGAUGAUGACGGUGGCACGGAUCUGUUCGGCCGGCGGAUUUGGUUCGAUAUUUUCAAAAGAUGUUGAAGGGUUCGAAGAAAUGGGGAAUCGAAGAUUCCCCUCUCCUUUUCUUUCGAAAAUAUUAAAUCGGCGAUGCUGGAGAUGACGUCGGUGAAGAUGAUGACGGUGGCGCGGAUCUAUUCGGCCGGCGGAUUUGGUUUGAUAUUUUCAAAAGAGAUUGAAGGGUCCGAAGAAACGAGAAAUCUUUGAUUCCCCUCCCCUUUUCUUUCGAAAAUACCAAACCGUCGAUGCUGAAGGUGGUCGCGGCAAUGUAGAUCACCAAUUCCAUCAAUU